UGUUAAAGAUUAAGCCAUGCAUGUGUAAGUAUAAAGACCAAGAAGGAUGAAACUGCGGACGGCUCAUUAAAACUGUCAUAAUUUCUUUGGUUAAAUUCAUAAGGAUAACUCUGUUAAUUGUAGAGCUAAUACUUGAAACGUCGAAAGACAACCGCAAGGUUAUAAACAUAUCCCUUAUGAAUAAGGAUAUGAAGAGAAUUGAAGUAAGUAAACUUUCACAAGUAACCAAUGAGAAUGUCAGACCUAACAACCAGAAGGUUUGGUAGUGGCAAACCUUAGUGAUAACGGGUAACGAGAAAUAAGGGUUUUACAUCGGAGAGGGAGCAUGCGAAACGGCUACCACUUCCAAGGAAGGCAGCAGGCGCGAAAAUUACCCACUUCAGACUCUGAGAGGUAGUGACGACAAAUAACUAAAGUGUGCCACAAAAGUGGUACACUUUUAGGGAUGAACCGAACGUAAAUAUGUCGGUGAACGCGAUUGGAGGGCAAGACUGGUGCCAGCAGCCGCGGUAAUUCCAGCUCCAAUAGUGUAUAUUAAAGUUGUUGUGAUUAAAAAGCUCGUAGUUGAUACAAACAGAAGAUGGUUCAAAACAGGUUCAGCUACGGUUGUCUCUGUUGCGGACUUGAUCUUCAAAGUGCAUACACAAUCGAAAGAUUAUGCAUGCGGUUUACUUUGAAUAAAGAAGAGUGCUUAAAGCAAAGCAAUAGCUAAUGCAAGAUAAAGCAUGGGAUAAUAAUAAGGGGAUCUCGAGAAAACCAUGACUAUAUGGCGGACAAGAGAUAACACAAAAAGGGAUAAGAGAAAGUGAUGACGUGGAUCAUACGGAAGCGGGAGAGGUGAAAAUCCAUGAUCGUUUCAGGAUGAACAAAAGCGAAAGCAUUCCACGAAGAACUGUUCAUUAAUCAAGAACGAAAGUUAGGGGAUCGAAGACGAUUAGAUACCGUCGUAGUCCUAACCAUAAACUAUGUCGACAAAGGAUUGGGAAGAAUCACACAGUGCGAGUCAGCUCCGGCUAAAAGCACUGGACACACUCUCGCCAGAACUUAAGGGAAACCAAGUUAAUGGACUUCAGGGGGAGUAUUGUCGCAAGACCGAAACUUAAAGGAAUUGACGGAAGGGCACACCAGGAGUGGAGCCUGCGGCUUAAUUUGACUCAACACGGGACAACUUACCAAGACCACACACGGCAAGGAAUGACAGACUAAGGGAACUUUCACGAUAACGUGGGGAGUGGUGCAUGGCCGUUCAUAGUUCGUGGAGUGAUUUGUCAGGUUUAUUCCGAUAACGAACGAGACUUCAAUCUUUAAUUAGAUUACGCAGCACAUGUUGCGCAAGUCAGCAAUGACCCUCAAACGAGGUCUUCUUAAAGAGACUCUUGGCAAUUUUCUGGAUUGCGGACCUACCCACCGGGAGGAUUCGCAGGCGGAAGAAGCUAAGGGAAGAGAAGCAAUAACAGGUCUGUGAUGCCCUUAGACAUCUUGGGCUGCACGCGUGCUACAAUAUCUAUUUUCAAGAGUACAUCAACAGUCAAUAGGAAGCAGUAGGCUCUCGCGAGCUUAGUGUUUCGACUAGGGCUGAACACCUUUUCCGAAAGGAGUGGGAAAACUCGUAAGAUAGAUGUAACAGGGAUUAAUGAUUGGAAUUAUUUGUUAUGGAACGAGGAAUUCCUUGUAAAAUUUUGUCACUAACGAAAGUUGAAUACGUCCCUGCCCUUUGUACACACCGCCCGUCGCUCCUACCGAUUGAAUAAAAAGAUGAAGGUUUAGGAGGAAUCAUCAAGCGAUGAGCCGAAUGGAUCUGAAUCUCUUUAUUUAGAGG
rnacentral:rRNA from 1 species